rnacentral:rRNA from 1 species
UCGGGUUUUUAUAUCUGGUUCUUUGAAAAACAAAUUUAAUUUGGCUAAAAAGUAAAUAUAUUUUUUAGUUAAGAGAAUUAGGGUAGAGCUUAAUUUUCGAAAUUAUUAAUUUAUAAAAUAUAUAAUUUGUUAUAUUUAUUUGAUGAGGCUUAAAAGUAGCUUUUUUAAUAAUUGUUUUAAAUUAAAAAUAAAUAAAUAAUAUUUAUAAGUUUUUGGUAAAAUAUUUAAGGAUUAAAUUUUAAAUAAAAUUAAUUUAGUUGUGAUAAUAUUAUUAGUAGAAAAUUGAGUUAAUAGGUUAAAAAAAUUUAAAAUAAUAAAACUUAUAUAUUGAAAAAUUGCUUUAAGGAAUUCGGCAAAUAUUAUUUCCGCCUGUUUAACAAAAACAUCUCUAUUUGGAUAUAUAAAUAGUUUGACCUGCCCAAUGAAUAUUUUAAAGGCCGCGGUAUUUCUAACUGUGCCAAGGUAGCAU